AUUGAACGCUGGCGGCAGGCCUAACACAUGCAAGUCGAGCGGAUGAAGGGAGCUUGCUCCUGGAUUCAGCGGCGGACGGGUGAGUAAUGCCUAGGAAUCUGCCUGGUAGUGGGGGAUAACGUCCGGAAACGGGCGCUAAUACCGCAUACGUCCUGAGGGAGAAAGUGGGUGAUCUUCGGACCUCACGCUAUCAGAUGAGCCUAGGUCGGAUUAGCUAGUUGGUGGGGUAAAGGCCUACCAAGGCGACGAUCCGUAACUGGUCUGAGAGGAUGAUCAGUCACACUGGAACUGAGACACGGUCCAGACUCCUACGGGAGGCAGCAGUGGGGAAUAUUGGACAAAGGGCGAAAGCCUGAUCCAGCCAUGCCGCGUGUGUGAAGAAGGUCUUCGGAUUGUAAAGCACUUUAAGUCGGGAGGAAGGGCAGUAAGUUAAUACCUUGCUGUUUUGACGUUACCAACAGAAUAAGCACCGGCUAACUUCGUG
rnacentral:rRNA from 1 species